CUAUACCUACGGGACGCAGCAGUGAGGAAUAUUGGUCAAUGGGCGCGAGCCUGAACCAGCCAAGUCGCGUGAGGGAAGACGGUCCUAUGGAUUGUAAACCUCUUUUGUCGGGGAGCAAAAGACGCCACGCGUGGCGUUCCGAGAGUACCCGAAGAAAAAGCAUCGGCUAACUCCGUGCCAGCAGCCGCGGUAAUACGGAGGAUGCGAGCGUUAUCCGGAUUUAUUGGGUUUAAAGGGUGCGUAGGCGGGACCUUAAGUCAGCGGUAAAAUUGCGGUGCUCAACGCCGUAGAGCCGUUGAAACUGG
rnacentral:rRNA from 1 species